GACGAACGCUGGCGGCGUGCCUAACACAUGCAAGUCGAACGAAGAAUGUUUUUCGGAAUAUUCUUAGUGGCGGACGGGUGAGUAACGCGUGAACAAUCUGCCCCGUACAAAGGGAUAGCCUCGGGAAACCGGGAUUAAAAACCAUAUAACACUUAACUGCCGCAUGGUAGUGAAGUCAAAUCGAUUAAGAGGUAUGGGAUGAGUUCGCGUCUGAUUAGCUAGUUGGUGAGGUAAGGGCUCACCAAGGCGACGAUCAGUAGCCGGCCUGAGAGGGUGAACGGCCACACUGGAACUGAGACACGGUCCAGACUCCUACGGGAGGCAGCAGUGGGGAAUAUUGCACAAUGGAGGGAACUCUGAUGCAGCGACGCCGCGUGAGUGAAGAAGGCCUUCGGAUUAUAAAGACUCUGUCUGGAGGGACGGAACAAAAUGAACGGUACCGUCCGGAGGAAGGCCACGGGACUAACGUAACGUG
rnacentral:rRNA from 1 species